CUUCUCCUCUCUCUGUGCCGUUCCCAACAUGAGCCUGUAUACUGUGUGUAUUGCCUGUUUCCAUUGUGAGUAGAGAACCUGUGUUGUGAGCACAUUAGACUUUCAGAGGCCAAGCAUGCAUAAAAGCAUCAUCCUACAACAGAGCAGCCAGCACUCAGUGGAUUAUGGGAGGCAGAGGGCUGUGAAGGAUACCCUGGUUGUGGUCUCAAGUCUUCAAAUGUUGACUUUAGAGGAUGCAGUCCUUGAUUUUGCUCGUCGAUAGUGAGCUGGUGACCUAAGGCGAACACAUGCAUAGGGUCCUCAUCCUGACAUCUCCUCAUGAACUUUGACUAAAUUAUGCUCUGGAGCCAUGUUUCCCAAAAUGGGUUGCAGUCCCAUUUGUAUUGGGUCUCCAAUAAUGGAGACCCCUGUAUAAUGUGUAAUAUGUGGAGAAGCGCUCAGGGUUUGGUUUUAAAUAUGACUGGCAUCCCCAAAUGCAACAUCUGCUGUAUUUGGGGACAGUCCAAACAUCUCUUCUUUGCAAAGAAUCCUUCAAGAGGUGUUGAUUUGAAUUUGUCACAACAUACUUGUGUGAAUCUGACUUUCCAAUUCAUAAAUGCAUUUCGUAGA